rnacentral:rRNA from 1 species
UACGAAAGGUGCAAGCGUUAAUCGGAAUUACUGGGCGUAAAGCGCGCGUAGGCGGCUUAGUAAGUUAGAUGUGAAAGCCCCGGGCUCAACCUGGGAACUGCAUCUAAAACUGCUAGGCUAGAGUAUGGUAGAGGAUGGCGGAAUUUCCUGUGUAGCGGUGAAAUGCGUAGAUAUAGGAAGGAACAUCAGUGGCGAAGGCGGCCAUCUGGACCAAUACUGACGCUGAGGUGCGAAAGCGUGGGGAGCAAACAGG